rnacentral:rRNA from 1 species
AACGAACGCUGGCGGCAGGCUUAACACAUGCAAGUCGAACGCGUGUAGCAAUACACGAGUGGCGCACGGGUGAGUAACGCGUGGAUAUCUGCCUUUUGGUUCGGAAUAACUCCGGGAAACUGGAGCUAAUACCGGAUGGUUCCUACGGGAUAAAGAUUUAUCGCCAAAAGAUGAGUCCGCGUACGAUUAGCUAGUUGGUGAGGUAAUGGCUCACCAAGGCGACGAUCGUUAGCUGGUCUGAGAGGACGAUCAGCCACACUGGGACUGAGACACGGCCCAGACUCCUACGGGAGGCGGCAGUGGGGAAUAUUGGACAAUGGGGGCAACCCUGAUCCAGCCAUGCCGCGUGAGUGAUGAAGGCCUUCGGUGUAAGCUCUUUGGUCGGGGACGGAUGAUGACGGUACCCGC